rnacentral:tRNA from 1 species
CGCGGGGUGGAGCAGUCUGGUAGCUCGUCGGGCUCAUAACCCGGAGGUCGUUGGUUCGAAUCCAGCCCCCGCUACCA